UUUUUAUCCCUGUAACAUCAAUCAAUAUAUAUCUAGAAUCAUAUAUUCAUCCUUGCACUACAGGCCAAGGACAUUCACCAGUUGGUCAUGUUCAUCUAAACACCUGUUCAUCUUUGCACUACGGGCCAAAGAUAUUCAUCAGAAAUCAUUCAUCUUUGCACUACAGGCCAAAGAUAUUCAAUAAUAUCAUCAUUUAAGACUGAUGAUGACAAAAAAUAUUUUUAAAGAAUGGAAUCCAGUGAAACAAAAUGACAAGGAUUAAGGAUUAAGGAUUCAUACUUUGUUUUAUCCACGUCCAAAAAUACCUCAAAAAUAAUCAUAGUGGUGUAAAAUUCAAGAAUGAUCAAAACAUGGAUACAAUCAAAGCUAGUAUCC
rnacentral:lncRNA from 1 species